GAUGAACGCUGGCGGCGUGCCUAAUACAUGCAAGUCGAGCGAAUGGAUUAAGAGCUUGCUCUUAUGAAGCUAGCGGCGGACGGGUGAGUAACACGUGGGUAACCUGCCCAUACGACUGGGAUAACUCCGGGAAACCGGGGCUAAUACCGGAUAACAUUUUGAACCGCAUGGUUCGAAAUUGAAAGGCGGCUUCGGCUGUCACUUAUGGAUGGACCCGCGUCGCAUUAGCUAGUUGGUGAGGUAACGGCUCACCAAGGCAACGAUGCGUAGCCGACCUGAGAGGGUGAUCGGCCACACUGGGACUGAGACACGGCCCAGACUCCUACGGGAGGCAGCAGUAGGGAAUCUUCCGCAAUGGACGAAAGUCUGACGGAGCAACGCCGCGUGAGUGAUGAAGGCUUUCGGGUCGUAAAACUCUGUUGUUAGGGAAGAACAAGUGCUAGUUGAAUAAGCUGGCACCUUGACGGUACCUAACCAGAGAGCCACGGCUAACUACGUGCCAGCCGCCGCCGUAA
rnacentral:rRNA from 1 species